rnacentral:lncRNA from 1 species
UUUGUGGGAGUUUUAAUUUCUUUUAAGAGAGGUUUAUAACCUCCUCAAAUAAUAAUAUAUUUUUUUUCUUCAUUUUCUAAUUUUUUUCCUAAAAAUUUUAGAGUAAGUUUUCUUUUAACAAUCCUAAAAUUUUAUUCCCUCCAUAUCUUAAACCCAUAUGCCUAAACCCAUUAUUUUCCUCUAAAAGUUUUCUGAUUCAGUUUCUCCCUUCCACUGAACCCUAAAAUCAGUUCCCCUAUUCGCAAAAUCAGUUUCUCCCUUCCAUUCGCAAAAUCAGUUCCUCCUUCAUUCCUUCUUCCUUCGCAGGUACGCAAUCUUCCUUUCUUCCUUCUUUCAUUUCUUUCUUCCUUCGCAAAAUCAGUUUCUAUUUCCUUUUCCUUUCAGAUUCGCAGUCGGUGGACGAAGCUGCAACGGGGGUUCUGCGGACCGGCAGACAGCGGAGCUCAAAACGUCACGGAGGUACAUCGUUCUACAACUCUUUGUGCUUUUAUUUGGUGCAGCGUUUUAUUGAGUUCAUUCUGCGUCACUUUAGUGGGUUAUCUUCUUCCCAGUCUCAAUCAUGUUUUUCAUCAACGACUAACUUGAGUUCGACAUUUGGUGAGUUCCCUCACCGCUAAUUCAUAGCCAGAAUGAGCUAACNAACAACAAAUAGUCACGAUAUGUUUUUCUUUUAAAUCAAAACCAUAUUCCCACAUCUACUCUUCUUUGUGUUCCUCUUAGGCCCCUAUAGCUCCUUUUCUUUUUCUUUUACAUUUUUUUAUCAAACUAUUUUUUGUCAAGUUUGAUUUAAAGAGAAGAAAAAAAUGGAAUACACAUCUUGUUUGGUUUUUAAUGAGAAAGUAACUUGCUGUCAUAUCUUUAAAAUACACAGAUAAAGUUAGAAGAGUACUGCUAACAAUAUUCUCUCAAUAAAUAUUCUACUAUAGUUAAAAUUUAUUAAAAACUAUAACUAAAAGAGAUAAAAUUAUUAAACUAUAGAUAAUUUAAUCCAAUUACUGUAAUUUUUGAGUUAUCAACUUUAAUCAUAUCCUAUUAGUGUAAUUCCCUCCC